GCCUUCGUUAUCGCUUUCUUCUUCCAUGCUUGUGUCGUCUUCGUCUUCGAUCUUCUGUUUUUUAGAGACAGACGAGUCACCUUCCACCUCCGUCGAAUCUCGUUUCGCCGUCGCAUCCUCGGGUUUCAUCAUCGUUGCAGGAGAAUCGAACAAACCCUAGAAUUAUCCUCUCUCUCUCUCUCUAACACACAAAUUGAUUUGGGGACGAAGCAGAAGAUGACAAUAUUAAAUGAUACUCUUUGAUGUAUUUACCGAUUUGCCCUUAUACCUCCCUGCUAUUUUAACACGUCGUUUGGGAGAUUAUGAGGCUCUCAGCAUAUGGGCCAAACCCAAUAUAAGGCCCAAAGUAAUUUUACGACGUUUAGCUCGUUUGUCUGCCUGUCUGUAAUCAACAAAUGGCUCUUUCUGAUAGGGCUGGGCACAAAUGCUUGAUACUCGGUUCGGUUUGUACUUGUUACUUGACUUGGUUAGGUUUGAAAAAACAAGUAUUUGCUCUGUGUGUUUCUGAUUUUAUGAGUUUUUAUGUCAUUUUAAUUUUAAUUUUUAUGUACCAUUUUUUUUUAAAUCAUUCAACUUAAAAAAUAAAAAAUUAAGAACCUUAAUGAAGUUCUUUCAUUGGAGGAUAAAAAAAUCAAUUAGACAAACAAAAGUUUUUAACUUUUCAAAUCACAAAAUUAACUAAUAAUUUAUUCAUUAGAACCUCUUAUGCUUCUAACCAAUAGAUUUGCUCUAAGACCAUCAUUAUCGGGAAUCCUUAAUGGGAUCCUUAAAUAAAAGUGAUGAUUUAAUUAAAUCAAAACAAAAGAAAAGGGUUGUUACCGAUUCUUAAUGGGGCAUUUUGGUGAUCGGUUUUAAGUGUGGUUUUUCAACCACGUGUCAGCACCACAUAUUUUUAUUUUUUUUUCUUUGCUUUGUUUUGUUUUCUCCGUCGCGUCUCACCUCCGCCUUGGGUCUUCUUCAUCCUUGUCGACUCAGGCUUGGCUCGUUGUGGUGAUUGAGUUCGUCUUCAGGCCAGCAGCACCGGACUCGCCCUCUGACGAGAACUAACUCACUCAGGUUUGAAAAUUGUCCGAUUCUGUGAUUCCGUGUAUGCAAGAUUUGGUAUAACUUCCUCAUCAGAACCUCUGUUUUCGCCAUUACCAUUGCCAAAUCAGAUCCUGAACACGAUGAGGAAGCGUCAUCCCAAGGCGGCUUCAGAUUCGUCGUCAGAGCCAUCAUCUUCCACUCAACAAAACGAUAACAACCAUCGAUGUCCUUGAUAAGAAGGUGGUUAAUGUAAGAAGAUCGGGGAAAACGUGGUUCUCAGUGUUGAUCCUCAUCAUAUACUCCUCCUGGGCUGUUUACAAGGGAAGUCGCUUGUGUAUUCAGAUAUAAGUCACAUUGUAGUGAGGAUCAUGCCCAAGUAUGAAUCAGAAGCAGGAGAGAAUGCUAUCCUUGUCUCUUCUCACAUUGAUACUUUCUUAAACAGGUGGGGCUGGAGAUUGUAGCUCAUGCGUAGCUGUAAUGCUGGAGCUAGCGCGGUCUGUUUCACAGUCGGCUCAUAGAUUUAAGAACUCUGUGAUCUUCUUGUUCAAUACUGGAGAGGAAGAAGGUUUUAAUGGCGCUCAUAGCUUUAUUACACAGGUGAAUAUAACUCCGGUCGGUUCAUGACUUUAAACACGGCAAAGCCAUAGCCAAAGACUAAAAAGGUAUUGCAUUUUGAGACUUGGAAGCAUACGUUUUCUGAAUUUGCUUGCAAGUUGCAUCCUUUUGAAGUGAUCUCAAAUGUUGUCUUUUUGGUAUAUAGUGACAAAAUUAGAAUGGAUAUGUUAGAGUUCUUCUCGAGUGUGGUUUGUGUAAAGUGUGUUUUUAACUGUGGUUUGAAUAUGUUAAUCUGAGAGGAGGAGGCUUUGGCAAUCAAGGCAGCAGGGAAGGUGUGGUAGGCUGGUAGCAGAGUAUGAUCUCCGACAGCGACUACACCGAGUUUGAGAGUUGAAGUAAUCGACCAAAACUUUACUCUUCUUCAACUCUUUCUUUUUUUCUUUACUGCUCUUGUUAAUAAAUAUGUUAGAUUCAUGUCAAAAUGUUAGGAUUGUUUGCUUGAUUUGAUUAUGAUUGUUUGAGUUAGGUUGUGGUUAGGAUUUUUUUUUAAGAAUCUUUAAUUAAGAAACUACUAUUGGAGGUACAAAA